rnacentral:rRNA from 1 species
CACGUAGGGGCAAGCGUUGUCCGGAUUUAUUGGGCGUAAAGAGCUCGUAGGUGGUUCGGUAAGUCAGGUGUGAACCUCCAGGCUCAACCUGGAGACGCCACUUGAUACUGCUGUGACUGGAGUCCGGUAGGGGAGCGUGGAAUUCCUGGGUGUAGCGGUGAAAUGCGCAGAUAUCAGGAGGAACACCAGCGGCGAAGGCGGCGCUCUGGGCCGGUACUGACACUGAGGAGCGAAAGCGUGGGUAGCAAACAGG